rnacentral:rRNA from 1 species
GGUACGUCAUUCUCUUGCCUGUUAUUCGUCUUUAUCAAAAGGAGUUUAUCACCCUAAUGCUUCAUUUCCUGCGUCGGGUUUUUGCCUAUUGCUUUCUAUCAUUGACUGCUACUCCCCGUAGCUGCCUCCCGUACGUCCUAUGGGAGUCAUUGGGGGA